AUACGGAGGGUGCGAGCGUUAAUCGGAAUUACUGGGCGUAAAGCGUGCGUAGGCGGUUUGUUAAGUCAGAAGUGAAAGCCCUGGGCUCAACCUGGGAACGGCUUUUGAGACUGGCAGACUCGAGUUGAGUAGAGGGGAGUGGAAUUUCCGGUGUAGCGGUGAAAUGCGUAGAGAUCGGAAGGAACACCAGUGGCGAAGGCGACUCCCUGGACUCAAACUGACGCUGAGGUACGAAAGCGUGGGUAGCAAACGGGAUUAGAAACCCUAGUAGUCC
rnacentral:rRNA from 1 species